rnacentral:rRNA from 1 species
ACGGGGUGCAGCAGGCGCGAAACCUCCGCAAUGUGAGAAAUCGCGACGGGGGGAUCCCAAGUGCUAUUCUUAACGGGAUGGCUUUUCUUAAGUGUAAAAAGCUUUUGGAAUAAGAGCUGGGCAAGACCGGUGCCAGCCGCCGCGGUAAUUU